rnacentral:rRNA from 1 species
GCGCGAAAACUUUACAAUGCUGGCAACAGCGAUAAGGGAACCUCGAGUGCCAGGUUACAAAUCUGGCUGUCGAGAUGCCUAAAAAGCAUUUCAUAGCAAGGGCCGGGCAAGACCGGUACCAGCCGCCGCGGUAACACCGGCGGCUCGAGUGGUAACUGUUAUUAUUGGGUCUAAAGGGUCUGUAGCCGGCCGGAUAAGUCUCUUGAGAAAUCUGGCAGCUUAACUGUCAGGCUUUCAAGAGAUACUGUCUGGCUCGAGGCCGGGAGAGGUGAGAGGUACUUCAGGGGUAGGGGUGAAAUCUUGUAAUCCUUGAAGGACCACCAGUGGCGAAAGCGUCUCACCAGAACGGACCUGACGGCAAGGGACGAAAGCUAGGGGCACGAACC